AUUGAACGCUGGCGGCAGGCCUUACACAUGCAAGUCGAACGAGUGGCGGACGGGUGAGUAAUGUCUGGGAAACUGCCCGAAGGAGGGGGAUAACACUUGGAAACAGUAGCUAAUACCGCAUACCAUCUUAUGUGCCCAGAUGGGAUUAGCUUGUAGGUGAGGUAACGGCUCACCUAGGCGACGAUCCCUAGCUGGUCUGAGAGGAUGACCAGCCACACUGGGACUGAGACACGGCCCAGACUCCUACGGGAGGCAGCAGUGGGGAAUAUUGCACAAUGGGCGCAAGCCUGAUGCAGCCAUGCCGCGUGUAUGAAGAAGGCCUUCGGGUUGUAAAGUACUUUCAGCGGGGAGGCGUUACCCGCAGAAGAAGCACCGGCUAACUCCGUGCCAGCAGCCGCGGUAAUUC
rnacentral:rRNA from 1 species